rnacentral:rRNA from 1 species
CCUACGGGAGGCAGCAGUGGGGAAUUUUGGACAAUGGGCGCAAGCCUGAUCCAGCAAUGCCGCGUGAGUGAAGAAGGCCUUCGGGUUGUAAAGCUCUUUUGUCAGGGAAGAAACGGGAGUGGCUAAUAUCUGCUUCUAAUGACGGUACCUGAAGAAUAAGCACCGGCUAACUACGUGCCAGCAGCCGCGGUAAUACGUAGGGUGCAAGCGUUAAUCGGAAUUACUGGGCGUAAAGCGUGCGCAGGCGGUUUUGUAAGUCUGUCGUGAAAUCCCCGGGCUCAACCUGGGAAUGGCGAUGGAGACUGCAAGGCUAGAAUCUGGCAGAGGGGGGUAGAAUUCCACGUGUAGCAGUGAAAUGCGUAGAGAUGUGGAGGAACACCGAUGGCGAAGGCAGCCCCCUGGGUCAAGAUUGACGCUCAUGCACGAAAGCGUGGGGAGCAAACAGGAUUAGAUACCCUGGUAGUCCACGCCCUAAACGAUGUCUACUAGUUGUCGGGUCUUAAUUGACUUGGUAACGCAGCUAACGCGUGAAGUAGACCGCCUGGGGAGUACGGUCGCAAGAUUAAAACUCAAAGGAAUUGACGG